GGUCGUUGUAGAGGUAGAUGGCUACUACCAUCCGGUUGUAACCCGGACGCCUUAGGCUAGAGGUUCAAUUCCUUCCUUCGACCACCA
rnacentral:tRNA from 3 species